rnacentral:rRNA from 1 species
UGGGGAAUUUUGGACAAUGGGCGAAAGCCUGAUCCAGCAAUGCCGCGUGUGUGAAGAAGGCCUUCGGGUUGUAAAGCACUUUUGUCCGGAAAGAAAUCCUUGGCUCUAAUACAGUCGGGGGAUGACGGUACCGGAAGAAUAAGCACCGGCUAACUACGUGCCAGCAGCCGCGGUAAUACGUAGGGUGCAAGCGUUAAUCGGAAUUACUGGGCGUAAAGCGUGCGCAGGCGGUUUGCUAAGACCGAUGUGAAGUCCCCGGGCUCAACCUGGGAACUGCAUUGGUGACUGGCAGGCUAGAGUAUGGCAGAGGGGGGUAGAAUUCCACGUGUAGCAGUGAAAUGCGUAGAGAUGUGGAGGAAUACCGAUGGCGAAGGCAGCCCCCUGGGCCAAUACUGACGCUCAUGCACGAAAGCGUGGGGAGCAAACAGGAUUAGAUACCCUGGUAGUCCACGCCCUAAACGAUGUCAACUAGUUGUUGGGGAUUCAUUUCCUUAGUAACGUAGCUAACGCGUGAAGUUGACCGCCUGGGGAGUACGGUCGCAAGAUUAAAACUUAAAUGAAUUGACGGGGUCAUAGCUGUUUCCU